ensembl:snRNA U6 U6 spliceosomal RNA
GUGCUUACUUCAGCAGCACAUAUACUAAAAUUGGAGCAAUACAGAGAAAAUUAGUAUGGACGCUGUGCAAGGAUGACAUGCAAAUUCAUGAAGCAUUCCAUAUUUUU